UUUGAUCUAAAAACAAACUCUAGUACCGAGUUUACAUUUUUCUUAAGGGAUAAACUUUAUUUCUUACAUUUAAAUCUAGCAAUGGGGAAAGCUUGUUACCUAAGGAUUUUCUGUAACUUCAAAGACAAAUAAAGGAGGGCUAGUAGAGAGAAAGUCUGUUUAUCCAAAUUAGAUGUUACAGCCACGAAGAAUCUUCCUUCCUGGAUGGACCCAUCAGUCAUCAUCUUUUAUUUACUUCUCUAUGGAACCUCAGCUUCUGUGAAGAGUCUUUGUACAGAUGAAACUGUGCCAACCGGUCUUUGGUGCAGACAAUUAUUUAAGGAGUCCAUCUCCACAAGAAGCCACCCUUUUAAAGGGAGAGCUUCAGUGGCCAGAGAUGACUGGCUGGUCUUUUUCAUUUAAGGACAUGAGUUCCCAGAAUUAUUACUCAAAAGACCUGGAGUUUGUUUCUGAUAUAGUGAAUAUUUAGCUUAUGUUGCUAUUUCUUCUCUGAACACUGGGAUUUUCUGUGAAGAAAAAUGAUCUCAUGAUAGUUUCUGCAAUGCAGCAGUCCCAGCUAAUGGUGUCUGAAUAUGACUCAAUACUGUAAUAGAUAUUUACACAAUAAAAGAUUCUGUAUAGUAUUUUCUUUAUUUUUUUUUUUUAGCUUACAUUUUGCACUGUUCCUCAAGGACAGUUAUACUUAAUGAUGUCUAUAGUAAAUGUCUAUAAAUAGAUGCUUUCUAAUGCAAUAUACCU
rnacentral:lncRNA from 1 species